rnacentral:lncRNA from 1 species
CCUGCUUUAAUUUCUUCAACGACACAAGACUGAGAUCGAUUCUUUACCGGUAACUUAACUCUAGAGUGUGAGACUGAGUGGUGAAACUCCUUUCAAGUCUCGCUAAAUUCCUCUGUUCCCUUCAAACAACAGCAAGGUAGGAUCCUGACGACAGUUAUGAGAGCAUUCAUCCUGGGUGGGCAGCGCGGAGACCAAUUUUAGGUGGGCCUCGGCCGGCCCGGUCCAGACUGUAGUUAAGGCCAU